rnacentral:rRNA from 1 species
AACUAACGCUGGCGGCGCGUCUUAAACAUGCAAGUCAAACGGGUAGCAAUACCAGUGGCGAACGGGUGAGUAAUACAUGGAUAACCUACCUUUAAGUUGGGAAUAACACAGAGAAAUUUGUGCUAAUACCGAAUGUGACGGUUCAGCAAAGGCUGGAUUGGUUAAAGCAGCAAUGCGCUUAGAGAUGGGUCCAUGGCUGAUUAGCUAGUUGGUGGGGUAAAGGCCCACCAAGGCGACGAUCAGUAGCCGGCCUGAGAGGGUGAACGGCCACAAUGGAACUGAGACACGGUCCAUACUCCUACGGGAGGCAGCAGUUAAGAAUCUUGCUCAAUGGGCGAAAGCCUGAAGCAGCGACGCCGCGUGAACGAUGAAGGUCCUCGGAUUGUAAAGUUCAGUAAAUAGGGACGAAAAAAAUGACGGUACCUACCUAAAGCACCGGCUAACUACGUGCCAGCAGCCGCAGUAACAC